rnacentral:rRNA from 1 species
GACGAACGCUGGCGGCGUGCUUAACACAUGCAAGUCGAACGGAAAGGCCCUGCUUUUGUGGGGUGCUCGAGUGGCGAACGGGUGAGUAACACGUGAGUAACCUGCCCUUGACUUUGGGAUAACUUCAGGAAACUGGGGCUAAUACCGGAUAGGAGCUCCUGCUGCAUGGUGGGGGUUGGAAAGUUUCGGCGGUUGGGGAUGGACUCGCGGCUUAUCAGCUUGUUGGUGGGGGAGUGGCUUACCAAGGCUUUGACGGGUAGCUGGCCUGAGAGGGUGACCGGCCACAUUGGGACUGAGAUACGGCCCAGACUCCUACGGGAGGCAGCAGUGGGGAAUAUUGCACAAUGGGCGGAAGCCUGAUGCAGCAACGCCGCGUGCGGGAUGACGGCCUUCGGGUUGUAAACCGCUUUCGCCUGUGACGAAGCGUGAGUGACGGUAAUGGGUAAAGAAGCACCGGCUAACUACGUG